rnacentral:rRNA from 1 species
AUUGAACGCUGGCGGCAUGCCUUACACAUGCAAGUCGAACGGCAGCACGGGAGCAAUCCUGGUGGCGAGUGGCGAACGGGUGAGUAAUAUAUCGGAACGUGCCCAGUCGUGGGGGAUAACGUAGCGAAAGCUACGCUAAUACCGCAUACGAUCUAUGGAUGAAAGCGGGGGAUCGCAAGACCUCGCGCGAUUGGAGCGGCCGAUAUCAGAUUAGGUAGUUGGUGGGGUAAAAGCCCACCAAGCCGACGAUCUGUAGCUGGUCUGAGAGGACGACCAGCCACACUGGGACUGAGACACGGCCCAGACUCCUACGGGAGGCAGCAGUGGGGAAUUUUGGACAAUGGGCGCAAGCCUGAUCCAGCAAUGCCGCGUGCAGGAUGAAGGCCUCGGUUGUAAC